AACGCGAAGAACCUUACCGGGGCUUGACAUCCUCUGACCAUCUAGGAGACUAGGUUUCCGGGCAACCGGACAGAGAGACAGGUGCUGCAUGGCUGUCGUCAGCUCGUGCCGUGAGGUGUUGGGUUAAGUCCCGCAACGAGCGCAACCCUUGUCGUGUGUUGGUCGCAAGAUCUCUCACACGAGACCGCCGGUGACAAGCCGGAGGAAGGUGGGGAUGACGUCAAGUCAGCAUGGCCCUUACGUCCCGGGCUACACACGUGCUACAAUGGGAAGGACAGCGAGUCGCGAACCCGCGAGGGCAAGCUAAUCUCUUAAACCUUUCCUCAGUUCGGAUUGGAGGCUGCAACUCGCCUCCAUGAAGUCGGAAUCGCUAGUAACCGCAGAUCAGCUACGCUGCGGUGAAUACGUUCCCGGGCCUUGUACACACCGAGUAUA
rnacentral:rRNA from 1 species